rnacentral:tRNA from 1 species
GCACUUGUAGCUCAGUUGGAUAGAGCGUUGCCCUCCGGAGGCAAAGGUCGGACGUUCGAAUCGUCUCAAGUGCA